AUAAGGUGAGCAGUACCUUUACCUUUUGGUAUGAUCAGGUGAGCAGGACUAUUACCUUUUGGUAUGAUCAGGUGAGCAGUAUUAUUACCUUUUGGUAUGAUCAGGUGAGCAGUACUAUUACCUUUUGGUAUGAUCAGGUGAACAGUACUAUUACCUUUUGGUAUGAUCAGGUGAACAGUACUAUUACCUUUGGCCUCUUAGUUUUUCUUCACUGACUUUUGCAGCAAAAGGAUUGAUUCCUCAGAACCAUGUAGACCAGUAGUUGGGUUGUAUGUUAUAAUACAUUUCUUAUGUAUGCUCUUGCUUUGGUUAAUGGUAAAAGAAGCGAGAAAAUAAUAAAAGUGCAAUAGUUUC